GGACUUUUGGCUUGUUCUGUGCUGGUGAACUUCGUUUUGAUUUUCAGCAGAAGUAACAAAAAGAAGUUUAAUGAAGAUAAAAUAGCUGCUGUUGAGCUGCACGAAAUCCCUGGUCAGAAGAGAGAACAGAUAAAAGACAGGAGGCUGUAUUCUGCAGUCAUCUUCACCGUGAUGAAAACGGCAAAAGACAAAAGAUGAAGUCUGCAGCAGUAAAACGUUUUUGUUCAGCAUAACUUUUGCAAUGAUCAAUCUUGUACAUAAUUCCUUGGAGUUAAACAUCACGGCAGUGUUCAUGUAAUAUAACAUUUUAAUUAAAAGAAGAGGACAUUGGAUGCAUGUUUUCUCUGGUUGCUUGUGUUUUCACUCAGAUUAGCUUAAUGUUUUCAAUGCAUGGACAAAAUGUUUGAAUGUGUGCUGAUGUCUCAAAUCCAAUAAUAUCAACAGUUGAUUUUGGAGGAUUUUUAAUUGUUUGAAGUGCUGUAAUGUUCUGCACCAUGUUUAUAAUAUGUUUGCCACUAUUGUGGAACUUGGAAUGAAGUGCCUUGCCAAUGGGCCCAUCAACACGUGACGGAGAUGCUGGAAUCAGAUCCACGACUGUUCACUUGUACAAUGACUACUUUACCCACUGAGACACUUAUGUUUACGAGAUUCCUUUGUUCUGAAUAGCCCAUCAAAACCAGUAUAAUUUCUUUCAGCUGUUGCUUAAAUUCUUUGUUCUGUUAUGUAAAUACCCUAUUUACAUAGGAUGUGUUCAAAUUCAU